GGGUCAGUAGGUUGGUCGUGCCACCGGUACGUACUGGUCUCACUGAUUCCUCCUUCCUGAAGAACCGUAAUGCCAUUAAUUUGGUGUUGCGGGGAAACAGGACUGUUACUUUGAAAAAAUUAGAGUGUUUAAAGCAAGCUAACGCUUGAAUACAUUAGCAUGGAAUAAUGAAAUAGGACAAUCGAUCCUAUUUUGUUGGUUCCUAGGAUUGACGUA
rnacentral:rRNA from 1 species